GCUGAAUAAUUUGGUUGCAACAACAGAUUUUGUGAGUGAAUUUCCAGCACCAAAAUUAAUUAAUCGCAAGAGAAUACACACACAAGCGGACAUAAUUGAAGAAAUGAAGGUUGUUUACGGAGUUGAUAUUAACUACAUGAAAGUUAGAUGCGCAAAAGAGAAGGCGAUUGCGAUACUUACAGAUGGACGAGCAGAUGGAUAUCGAAAAAGCC
rnacentral:lncRNA from 1 species